rnacentral:lncRNA from 1 species
GAGGGCAGUGGCUCAAAUUGCUCAACCAUGACGGCAUCCUAUUGGUCAAUAUUUAUGGAGAAAUAUUCUCAAGAUAUUAUUUAAAUAACGAUUACCUACUUGAUUGGAGUCAUUCUUCAAUUGGGAAUGUAUUAAAGAUAGGAUUUGGGUAAUUAAUCCUUAUCUUUAAUGCUUUGACUUUUCCUUACCAAAGGCAGGUGAGCUGUGGGCAGUCGUAUUCAGCAGAUGGGACUUUCAGAGUAUGAGCUGCGCGUGGGAGUAUCUGAGGAGCCUGCCCAUUUAUUGAGGGCAAUCUUAUCUUUCUUGAGCAAAAGUCCACGUGUCGCCUCUAGAAUUUUUGGGAUUAUUUUUUGUUCCACAAAGGCCCCCACACAUGCUGGGCUGCAUAUAGGAAAAUGGCAGUAGGUGUAGAAAUCCUAAAUCGCAUGGGCUUGUAGAGUUGUUUCCCAAUUUGAACUUGGUCUCCUUUUUUGAUUUGGAGAUAGACUCCUUCUAGGAAAAGGAAACUAAUGUCCCCAGUACCUAUUUAAUUAUGCCUUAAGCAGGGGAUUAAAUAAAUUUGGAGAAGAAUCAUCAUUCUAACAAGGAAAAGAGAAGCCAGAGGAAAUUUUUCUUCCCCCUCCCCUAGCUUUCUUAUUCUCUUGCCCUUGCAAAGAGUCGUCUCUCGUUGUUGUUCUUCUUCUCUAUGCCACACCAAGGUAAGAAAAAUUUGAACUUUCUUCUUCUUGAAUUUUUCAGGAGUCUUGGGACUUGAAAAAUUGGUUUGGAAGGGGCCGAGGGUGUGUGAGACUCAUGGCAAGGGAGCCACGAGGCUGGUGCACAUGGUGGUGUGGCACGAAAACCAGCUGGCGUAGGCCAGAUGAUCGGCUCAGCUCGGGCCGAAGUGGCUGGGCGCUAAGGCACGGAGAGGCCGACUUGGGCCAGGCUUUCGAGGCUGCUGGGCAUGAGCCCGUGCAGGCAGAGGGUGAGAGAGUGGGAGAAACUAGCAUAGGUUAGCUCUUGGGUCUUGGUGGCUAGGCUGAGAGGCCUGGGCCUAUUUUCUAGGGGUGGUAAGUGCACGAAGAAGAUGAGGAAAGGAUGCGCGGACUCCCCCCGUAUUG